rnacentral:rRNA from 1 species
GACGAAGGGGGCUAGCGUUGUUCGGAAUUACUGGGCGUAAAGCGAGUGUAGGCGGUUGCCGUAGUCAGGUGUGAAAGCCUUGAGCUCAACUCAAGAAAUGCACUUGAUACUGGGUGACUAGAGGACCGGAGAGGAUAGUGGAAUUCCCAGUGUAGUGGUGAAAUACGUAGAGAUUGGGAAGAACACCAGUGGCGAAGGCGGCUAUCUGGACGGUUACUGACGCUAAGACUCGAAAGCGUGGGGAGCAAACAGGAUUAGAAACCCCGGUAGU